rnacentral:rRNA from 1 species
UAACACGUAGGAGACUAGCGUUAUCCGGAUUUACUGGGCGUAAAGCGCGUGCAGGUGGCUCGGAAAGUUCGAUGUGAAAGCUCCCGGCUUAACUGGGAGAGGUCGUUGAAUACUUUCGGGCUAGAGGAUGGGAGAGGGAGGCGGAAUUCCGGGUGUAGUGGUGAAAUGCGUAGAUAUCCGGAGGAACACCAGUGGCGAAAGCGGCCUCCUGGCCCAUUUCUGACACUCAGACGCGAAAGCUAGGGUAGCAAACGGGAUUAGAGACCCCGGUAGUCCUAGCUGUAAACGAUGUAGACUUGGCGUUGGCGGGUUCAAAUCCGUCAGUGCCGAAGCUAACGCGAUAAGUCUACCGCCUGGGGACUACGGCCGCAAGGUUAAAACUCAAAGGAAUUGACGGGGCCCCGCAC